UACGUAGGGCGCAAGCGUUAUCCGGAAUUAUUGGGCGUAAAGAGCUCGUAGGCGGUUCGUCGCGUCGGCUGUGAAAACCCGAGGCUCAACCUCGGGCCUGCAGUCGAUACGGGCGGACUGGAGUUCGGCAGGGGAGACUGGAAUUCCUGGUGUAGCGGUGAAAUGCGCAGAUAUCAGGAGGAACACCGGUGGCGAAGGCGGGUCUCUGGGCCGAUACUGACGCUGAGGAGCGAAAGCGUGGGGAGCGAACAGG
rnacentral:rRNA from 1 species